rnacentral:rRNA from 1 species
AUUGAACGCUGGCGGCAUGCCUUACACAUGCAAGUCGAACGGUAACAGGUCUUCGGAUGCUGACGAGUGGCGAACGGGUGAGUAAUACAUCGGAACGUGCCCGAUCGUGGGGGAUAACGAGGCGAAAGCUUUGCUAAUACCGCAUACGAUCUACGGAUGAAAGCGGGGGAUCUCCGGACCUCGCGCGGACGGAGCGGCCGAUGGCAGAUUAGGUAGUUGGUGGGAUAAAAGCUUACCAAGCCGACGAUCUGUAGCUGGUCUGAGAGGAUGAUCAGCCACACUGGGACUGAGACACGGCCCAGACUCCUACGGGAGGCAGCAGUGGGGAAUUUUGGACAAUGGGCGAAAGCCUGAUCCAGCCAUGCCGCGUGCAGGAUGAAGGCCUUCGGGUUGUAAACUGCUUUUGUACGGAACGAAAAGCCUCUUUCUAAUAAAGAGGGGUCAUGACGGUACCGUAAGAAUAAGCACCGGCUAACUACGUG